CAAGACAGUUUCAGCUUUAAUAGAAGUCAGCCUAAGGGGACUCAGAAAGCCUUAGCAACUUCAAGCAAAGAAGCAGUCACUUAACUAAAAACAUUUUUUUUUAACAUGUAUAUCAUUCAGAAGUUGACAUUUUAUCUCCCUGGGAAAGUAAAGGAGAGUUUGCCUAGAAAAUAUAAGGUUGGACAAGGCUCUCUUUGAGUCAUACGGCCAGUGUUCAAAUACUGGUAUGAACAAAAGAUCUGGAUCAAAAUUACUGUUAUUGCUAUUAAGAAGAAUCAGUUGUUAGUUUACAUAUAAUAUAUACAUUUAACAUAUAUUAAUACUUAAAA
rnacentral:lncRNA from 1 species